UUUCCUUUUAUUGAACCUCACCAUUUCUGGCAUCUCAACUUUCCCUACACUGUACUUCCAAUUGAGCCUGUCUUCUUUAGCCAGCAAGAGAACUAUCGGAAUCACUCUCAGCUGCUCAAGCCAGCAUCACUAGUUCCAGAAUCGUUGGUAACCAGUGGCCUCUGGGAGAAGGUAGCCGUGUCCUCAGGCCAGACAUGAAGAGCCUAAUCAGACAAGAAAGAAGAGGAUGCUGAGGGAGGCCUGGAGGCCUUACAGGUAAAACUGGUCAAACAACUUGAUGAAGAAGAGCGGUUUGAGUCUGGCACCAAUGCUGUAUUGGAAAAACAAGCCUGUGACUUGUUUUUAGGUGUCUAUUUAAAAAGGAUCGGAAGUUCAGCCUAGAGUUAACAUCUGCCACCAAUCCUCUUUUUGCUGAAGAAGACUGGCCCUGAGCUAACAUGCAUGACCAUCUUCCUCUACUUUAUAUGUGAGAUGUGCCACAGCAUAGCUUGACAAGUGGUGUGUAGGUCUGCACCCAGGAUCCGAAUUGGCGAAUGCUGGGCUGCUGCAGCGGACCACGCGAACUUAACCACUGUGCCACCAGGCCAGCCUUGUCAUUUAUUUUUUCAUUGUUUUUUCAAUAUUUUAUUAUGAGAAUUUGUAAACAUACAGCGAAGUUGAAGUUUUAUGUUUUUAUGAUAAUAUUUUACAUACAUCCCCAGCAUAGAUUCUACAAUUGAUCUUUUACUGCAUUUACUUUAUCACAGACCUGUCUAUUCAUUCAGCCAUUUGUCACAUCAAUCCAUCUUUUAGGUGUGUGUAUUUCUGCCAGAUAUUUUAGAUUCUGACAAUUUUGCCCCAUAGCAUAAGAGGAAAUAAAACCAGAUUUGCUGCAAAGAAACAAAGAAAGAGAAUCAUGCUGGAUUUUAAAAUUCAAGUCUUAUAGAUGUGUGGGGAAGGGGCACAUUUAAGAAAAUAAUGGAGGGUAAAAAAAUUAGCUAGCAACUUAGGAACUAGAGGAAGUCCUUUGACAUUAUGAAGUGUGUCAAAAAGAUCACUGCAUUCCCAAAGAUUGCCAAACAAUUGCACGGAAAGAAGCUAAAGGUAAAGGAACUAUGGCCCAAGGAAUGCACGAUUUCAGGGAUCUGAAGAGAAUGGAAGAGCGUCUGCCAGUUUUGGAUGCCAGGAGCAUGUCUCCAAAAGGAUAGUAUCAGAAGAACCUGGAACUGUGUGCCCAUUUCCAGGAACGUCUCCCAAGCACAGAACAGGGAAUGCUGCGAUACCACAUUUUAAUCGUCUAUUCCCCUAAUGCAAAGAAUGAGGCAACAAAUGUCCCUUAACAUUUCUCUUUGUCUGUGAGUGUGAGCUUCUCCAAGAGAGUGGUCUUUGUGCUAGUUCUCUAGGGCUCCUGUAAGAAAGUACCACAGGCCGGAUGGCUGAAACAACUCGAAUUUAUUUCUCCCAGUUCUGGAGGCUAGAAUUUUGAGAUCAAGGUGUUGGCAGGGAUGGUUCCUUCUGAGGAUUGUGAGGGAGAGUCUGUUCCAGGCUUCCCUUGGCUUGUAGAUAGCUGUCUUCUCAUUGUGUCUCUACAUUGUCUUUCCUCUGUCUCUGUGUCCAAAUUUCCCUUUUUAUAAGAACACCAAAUGUAUUGGAUUAGGGCCCACCCUAAUGACCUUAUUUUAACUUGAUUACAUCCGGAAAGGGCCUAUCUCCAAAUUCAGUCACAUUCUGAGGUACUGGGGUUGAGACUUCAAUGCGUGAAUGUUGGAGCAGACAAAAUACAACCCGUAGUCUUCAAAUUUAUUUCUUGCAUAACCCGAAAAAGAAUUUGGAAAAACUGUGUACCCUUCACACAGUUUAAUAUUGACACUUAACAAUUUAAAUCAUAGAUUUAAACAGUUCCAAAGGAUAAAAUUUUUGUCGUGUAAAUAUUGAUGUCAAAAUUUGGCGUCAAAAUAAAACGGUUACUCUUUUAAGGGUGUCCAAAGGAAUCUAAAUACCAUAACAAUUUGAUUCAAUAAUUAUAAUCUAUUUAAAAAUGCCUGCGUAAUUUCCAAUGGAAAUUUUAUAUCUUUCCUUUUUUUGCUUUCCAUUCCAAUUCUCCCACAGAAUUUUACCUUCAUGUAACAUAUUUUAAUACCAGAAAGUCUCUUUUUUGACCACCCCAUUAUGCUUCUCUUUGACAAAACUGUGCAUGGAAAUUGAAAUUUUGAAAUAUGUUUUAUUUCUUGGGAUCAUAAGGUUGUAAGUGUUAUUUAAACUUCCUUCUAGGUUGAGUUGUUGCCAUUGUUAUUGUUAAAUGAUGAUCAAGACAAUGAAACUACUUUAUAAAAUUAUUAUUUUGUAAUUUAUUAAACAGAAAAAAUAAGAUUUUAUUGAAAAUGUUUCUCUUGCAAUGAUACAAAUGAUGUCCCUCCCUCCAAUUAGCUCACGUAUCCAUUGACGAAUGACUUAAUGUUAGAACCGUGCAGAUUCUGUGUGAAGUUUAUCCCUGCCCUCACCCCUUUAUAGAAGUAACUGCUGAGAAAACUUAUUCAUAGUAAUAAAUAAAUGGGAAUGAAAGGUGUUUAUUAUAGCAAUUUCAUCCAAUUCUUUGAGUUCUACCCAAAUUCUAUGCCAAAUAUCACCUGGAAAUUUAUUAUAAAAAUUAUUUUUAGUACUCUCUCUGCUAAAAAUUCUAUUAAAUUCUUCUUUUAGUGAAAGUUGAAAACCACCCAACACACAAAAGACCUGUUACCCAGUUAUGAGAGUGACUCAGAGCCUCAAGUUCUGGGAGGCACACCUGACUUACCAAACAGCUCUUAGUUCCCUGUGUUGCUCUUUCACUAAAGCACCUUGUUUAGAACAGGUUGGUGUCUUAGCUUGGGUUCCUCCCAAAACAAACUCUAAGAUGAGGUCUUGAGUUCAAGAAAUUUAUCUGAGAGUUGAUCCCAGAAAGAACAUCCUAAUGGGGACCUUCUGAGUAUCCCGUAGAAUGCACCUCAGAACUGUCGCACUAAAGAACAAGGACGUUGGGAAUUUAUGCACUUUCAGUCCCUGCCCUUGUACCUGGCUGAAUACCAGAGACAGCCCUCCUUGGGCAGAGAAGCAGAAAGACUUGGGCCCUUACCACUAGAAGGUGCAGUGAACUCAGAGGUGGGCCCUUAGGAUAUACAGCGGGACAUCAAAAAUAUCUGUAGUAGGUGAAAUAUAGAAACAUUGUUAAUUUACUGAUAAAAAUAUUUAUCUUAUCAUAUUUUAAAAUAUAUUUUCAUCAAAACCUGAAGCUGCAGAUGUAUUUCAUUUAAUUCAUAAAAAGUCUCCUCCCUAUAUUGACAAAAUGAAUAUACUUUGUUAAAUCUAUCAGUUUAACAUCAUUUUUAAUUCAAAUAAAUGUUAUUAGAAUUCAAAAAUCUUAAGUAUUCUUUGAAUUUAAUAUUGAGUAAAUAUCAACUACUACUAAAACUACUGAAAAUAAAUUUCAGAAUGCAUAUUGUAAAGAGAUUUAUACGAUGUGGAUGUAAUAUAAUUAAUUUAUUCACUUAAUAAUGUUAUGCAAAUAAGAAAAUAAAUUGAGGUGUUGUUUCUUGUUAUUUAAUUUAUAAUAAUGUAACACACUAUUUUGCUAAAAUUGUAAAUUACUUUUGAAGUGAGGCAUAUGAUAAAAAGCACCGUAUUUCUUUGGUGAAUGUAUUUGUGUGCAUGUAUUCUGCUAUGAGGAACAAUUAAAUUAGAACCAAGUAUAGAUACCAUACUGUAUUAAUUUCUAGACCUCAGGUUAAAACUUUUCCUCAUAUUUAAAGGAAGAGAAAGCUACCUACUGCUAAAAUGCAUCGGUCUAGAAGCGAGUAUAUAAUUUUAUUUAUUUUUUUGUUACAGGAGUAGAAAGCAUUAAGUGUUUUAUAAAUAAAGUUAGAUGAGAAUUAACUUCAACUGGAAUAGAUGUGCAUUUUAGCUGGUUUGUUGAAGAGCACACACCAAAUCAGAAAGAAAUUAUGCACAGGUCUUACUUAUGGAUUUUAUCCAAUUUACUUUGAGCAGUUUGGUAGUUCCAGAAAAACAUUUUCAGGUACAUUUAAAAAUAUCAGAGUCACUAACAUGUCCUCUUUUGGCUAUUCAAAGGUAUUUUUCUUUCCAGCUAGUGAUACGUUUUAGGCAUAAAUAUUGAGGAUAGCCUCACAGAAUUGCCUACACCCAAAUACAGGAAAAAAGUCAGAGAGCAUUAAAAAUAUUUUACUCAUGAUUUGCUCUCAUGAACUCCCCCCACCCAACCACCACCAAAAACGCUGUAAUUUCUGACAUUAGUCUGUGAAUAACAGAGGCAAAAUGUUAAUGAAACUGAUUAUCACUUCCUCUCCUCCCUACCAUGCAACUGAGUGUCCCAUUUUAAAGAUUUUAUUUUUUUCCUUUUUCUCCCCAAAGCACCCCGGUACAUAGUUGUAUAUUCUUAGUUGUAGGUCCUUCUAGUUGUGGUAUGUGGGACACCGCCUCAGUGUGGCUUGAUGAGCAGUGCCAUGUCCGCACCCAGAAUUCAAACCGACGAAACACUGGGCCGCCUGCAGCAGAACGCGCGAAUUUAACCACUGGGCCACGGGGCCAGCCCCUGAGUGUCCCAUUUUAACCCAAAACUUCACCCUUAACAGAAAUGUGUGUGAUAUAGGGAAAACUGGAAGACCAAAGGUGUGUGGUGCCCUAAGUAAUCACUAAAGUAGGCUUUGCUUUUGUUUGUUUACCCAAGGUUUCUGAACUCAGGAGCAAUGUUCUGAAGGAAGAUGUGGGAUGAUGUGGAAAGGGCACAGGCAGGCUCUUAGGUCAGCCUGGUAAAACUCUCCGUGCUCGCGGACCCUUUGCAUAGCCCUGGUGUGAAGACCGUCAGAUUCUUGGACAUUCACGUGUUCAAUUUUAAUGCAUGCUGCCAAAUUGCCCUUCAAGGUUUUCGUGCCAAUGUACACCUCCAGCACCUGUGUACCUGUGUAUGAGCAUUCCCGUCACUCUAGACACUUGCCAACGUUUGCUAUCACCUGACUUUGAAGUUUUUGCCUACUUGGCAGAUGAGAAAUGUCAUUUCACAGAUUUUACUUUACAUUUUCCAAGUUAUUAAUGAGUUUGGGCUUAUAUGGUUGAUGGCUAUUUGAAUUUCUACUGCAGUGAAUUGCCUUUUAUUUCUUUUCCUUGUGUUUUUUGUUUUUGUUUUAAGAAGAUUAGCCCUAAGCUAACAUCUGCUGCCAAAUGCUAAUCCUCCUCUUUUUGCUGAGGAAUGUUGGCCCUGAGCUAACAUCCAUGCCCAUCUUCCUCUAUUUUAUAUGUAGGACUCCUGCCAGCGCAUGGCUUGAUGAGCGGUGCGUAGGUCCAUGCUCAGGAUCCGAACUGGCGAACUCCAGGCCACCGAAGUGGAAUGUGUGAACUUAACCACUAUGCCACUGGGCUGGCCCCUCUUUUCCUCAUUUUUUCAUGUCAUUUUUUAAAAUUU
ensembl:lncRNA